rnacentral:rRNA from 1 species
GACGAACGCUGGCGGCGUGCUUAACACAUGCAAGUCGAACGGAAAGGCCCUGCUUUUGUGGGGUGCUCGAGUGGCGAACGGGUGAGUAACACGUGAGUAACCUGCCCUUGACUUUGGGAUAACUUCAGGAAACUGGGGCUAAUACCGGAUAGGAGCUCCUGCUGCAUGGUGGGGGUUGGAAAGUUUCGGCGGUUGGGGAUGGACUCGCGGCUUAUCAGCCUGUUGGUGGGGUAGUGGCUUACCAAGGCUUUGACGGGUAGCCGGCCUGAGAGGGUGACCGGCCACAUUGGGACUGAGAUACGGCCCAGACUCCUACGGGAGGCAGCAGUGGGGAAUAUUGCACAAUGGGCGGAAGCCUGAUGCAGCAACGCCGCGUGCGGGAUGACGGCCUUCGGGUUGUAAACCGCUGUCGCCUGUGACGAAGCGUGAGUGACGGUAAUGGGUAAAGAAGCACCGGCUAACUACGUG